rnacentral:rRNA from 1 species
AUGCUUAGGAAAAUGUUCCAAGGUGGUUCUUCAAGGAAGCAAGGACCCAGGCUUGCAAUGCGUGAUGCUGACGAGGAGCCACCAAGGGACGCCCUAGUGCGGCCUUGUGAAUGGCCCUCAGAAAAUUUUAUGGAUCGAGCGAGAAUCAAAGAAGAAUUUAACGCAUACUUGCGUAACGCUGAUCUUGUGAGCUUUGAGGCAGACAAAUGCCGCCAGUACCACUAUCUCACUAGUACAUUUGUGAGGAGGUUUGAAUUUUCAUCUUCACGUAAUUCUCCAACUGUCCUGUUUGAUCUCUAUGAAAAAUCUUAUACUAUGGACUUAGAGGAUUUUACCGCUGCUUGCAAACUUCCACAAUGGGAUAGUGCUAGUGAACCUCGCAAAUCUGAAUUUAGAAAUUUUCUUGCUAACAUAACUGUGGGGGAAUCUAGAGACAUAGCACAAGCUACCAUAGGGAGCGUUCAUUUUCCUGCUAUACAUUAUUUGCUCUUUUCAUAG